AUGGCCCAUCAAUUCCCCUCCUACCCUCCCUCACCAACCAUUACAACCCAACCUCACAAAAUAAACAAUCAAGAGAGAGAGAGAGAGAGAGAGAGAGAGAGAGAGAGAGGGGGGCACGCAUCAAUGGUGACACGAAGGCCCUACAUGAUUGAUACAGAACCUGAUGCCUUCAUAGAGGCCCUACCAGCUAUGACAACAUCAACCAUCCAUUCUUCUUCUUCCUUAGAAGCACUGGUACAAGUCUAUGGGCUGGCUCCAUGUGCUGCCGGCGCCAAAAAUGUCAUAGGCACUGCUUGUUGUGGCGCCCAUGGCGGCGACGGGGUUCGCUGUGCUAGUGAUAGAGUUCAUGCAGCAGAUGAUCUCGCCCAGGGCGCACAGCCUGCUCUCCAGCUCCAUCUUCUGUGUCUGCAUCACCGAGUUCUGUGCUUGCAGCGCCACAAGGUUUUGGGUGGUCAUGCCCAGCACCAUGUUCAUUUGUUGGCUCUGGUUCUUGAGCUGAUCCACCUGUUUUUGUCACAAAAAUAUAUUCUUCUUAGCAAUAUGUAG
rnacentral:rRNA from 1 species